rnacentral:rRNA from 1 species
GACAGAGGAGCCAAGCGUUGUCCGGAUUGACUGGGCGUAAAGCGCACGCAGGCGGCCCGGCGCGUGGGGUGUGAAAGCUGGCGGCUUAACUGCCAGACGCCAUCCCAUACGGCUGGGCUCGAGCCCUGCAGAGGUCCAUGGAAUUGCCGGUGUAGUGGUGAAAUGCGUAGAGAUCGGCAGGAACACCCAGGGGGAAACCAGUGGACUGGGCAGGAGCUGACGCUCAGGUGCGAAGGCGUGGGGAGCGAACCGG